rnacentral:sRNA from 1 species
UUAGCAGCCUUGGAGGCCAGAGUCAUCUGUUUAUGCGCAAAAUGGUUGCAGAAAUGAACAGUAGCAGUGCAGGCUUCUCCCCACUGCUCUGCUAAUGUACCUCAGAGUAGAAUGAAUGAUUACUAAGAGGGUAAUUUAGUUCCCUGUUCAUUAACUCGUUGGCUUCU